CAGACUUUGAUAACGCCCAAGUUUUGCUGGAUUCAUCCUUCACAGAUCUGCUUAUUGACAGUUCUGGCUGGAAACAUCAGAAGAUGUACGACAACUGGUGCGAAGCAGUGUACUUAGGUACACCAGCAGGAAAAGUUAUCGUCAACUGUGCAUUCAACUGCACAAAUUACCCACGAGGUGCUUGGCAAUCAAAUAAUGUUUCAUGCAUUGCAUCUACCCAUAAAGCAGUGCACAGCAUGGCGUGGGAUACCACUUACCUGUGUGCUCUGGGAACUUGCACGAAGAACGGUGUGUGCCGAAAAUCCGGACUUUAUAUUGACUGCCGGAAAAUACGAGACGAAAUUGAAAAUUGAAUAGGAGCCUCUUCGGAUUUGCGGAGGAGAUAAGCUCACGCAACAUGACACGCAAUAUUUCAUUAAAUUCGCUAUUUUGGCCGUCAUACGGGAGUCAACAAUCCUCUUUUUAUUCAGUAUUUUGACAAGCUCCAAGGCGGUGGCAUACGCAAACUGAAUAAAAUAUUGUUUCGGUUACUGUC